GAUGAACGCUAGCUACAGGCUUAACACAUGCAAGUCGAGGGGAAACGACAUCGAAAGCUUGCUUUUGAUGGGCGUCGACCGGCGCACGGGUGAGUAACGCGUAUCCAACCUGCCCACCACUUGGGGAUAACCUUGCGAAAGUAAGACUAAUACCCAAUGAUAUCCCACGAAGACAUCUGAAUGGGAUUAAAGAUUUAUCGGUGAUGGAUGGGGAUGCGUCUGAUUAGCUUGUUGGCGGGGUAACGGCCCACCAAGGCAACGAUCAGUAGGGGUUCUGAGAGGAAGGUCCCCCACAUUGGAACUGAGACACGGUCCAAACUCCUACGGGAGGCAGCAGUGAGGAAUAUUGGUCAAUGGGCGAGAGCCUGGACCAGCCAAGUAGCGUGCAGGAAGACGGCCCUAUGGGUUGCAAACUGCUUUUAUAAGGGAAUAAAGUGGGUCACGUGUGACUUUUUGCAUGUACCUUAUGAAUAAGGACCGGCUAAUUCCGU
rnacentral:rRNA from 1 species